UGAUCAAUCAAAAACUUUGGAUUUCAAUCAUUUCAAGUUUGCAUGAUUCAAUGUAUUGCAAGUUCAAAAUCAAACCUUCAUAGUCACCAAAGAAUCAAAGCAUGAAUGUGAAAUAGUUUCAAAAUUCAAGUAAGAUUUCAAUCUUUCCAAAUCAACAAGAUAAUCAACUAGAAUCACAAUACUCACAAGUGUUUCAUCUCAAGGGUGUAGUGUUUCUCUCAAUCCAAACAAUGUGUUCACAACAAAUCAAUUCAAACAUACAUCUCAUCAUAAUCACAAACAUGCUAUCAAUCAUGGAUCACUAAGGUCUUUCUUAAGCUUGUAAUGGGGCUAGGCUACAAGAAAUCAUUGUUUCUCUUUGGAUUCAAAAAGCCUUAAGGAUAAGAGAGCAUAAUUCUUGAGAAUUUCAUCACAUAAGCUAUUUAUCCUCUUUCACUUUCCCCAUUUUUCUUUCUUUUGGUAAUUCUUUUGUUUUGACNNNNNNNNNNNNNNNNUUUUUUUUGUAACACAUUUUCUUUGAUUUUCAUUUGUGUGUCAAAUGACUUUCAAUAUUUUUCUUUUUCUUUUUUUCUUUUUCAAUCACCAUCUUCAACAUCUCAUGUUUUUCAACUACUUCUUUUUUCUUUUUUUUCAAACAAAUAACCUCUUUUCUCCCCCAACUUGUUUUCAACCCUACUUAAACUUAAUGCUCAAUCAUCCUAAGACAAGGGUCAAGUCAUUGUUUUUCUUUAUUGUGGUUCAAGGUUCAAAACAAACAAAUUUUCAAAAUUUUUGGCUCAAGGGGNNNNNNNNNNNNNNNNNNNNNNNNNNNNNNNNNNNNNNNNNNNNAGCUACUUGGUUCAAAUUCAUCCUAUCAUUCAAAGAUAAUCACAAAAUUUUGACCUCAAACAAUGCAAUUAAAAAAAAAUUAUUCUAAUCACGCAUUUGAAUUUGAUUAAUCACAAACCUAAACUUUUCAAUUCAUCUGCACAUGGUAUUCAAAAUUUCAAAAAUUUGAACCAUUUUUUCAAUCAACCAUCAACAUGUUGUUCAAACCACAAGAGAAAUAUAAAUUAAGAUAAAGCAUAAAUUUAACCGAAAGCUAUUUAAAAUAAACUUCACAGAGUUUUGGAGAGCUUUCUCGGUCUAUCUUUCUCUUGUCAGUUGUCUGGAUCUUCUUCACUUCCUUGGUACCAACAGCAGCUUCUCACCUCCUCCGAGUAAAAUGGCCUUUCCAUAGGCCAUGCCAUUUGUGCAGCUUCUUGAGUUUUUCUCUAAGUGUCAUAUCUGAAACAAUUGUAACUGACAGAACUGGAACCAAAAACAAUUCAACAUCUUAAGCAUGAGAGUAUUCUUAUGAAUGCACAAAGAUUUAAGACUUUUAAAUCCCAAUAAUGGAAACAUAUGCUCAUAGCCACCAACAUGAUAGUCUAGUAUCAAAUCACAGUAAAAUGCACCAGAACAAGUAGAAUUAGAUUUAUCAACAAAAUCAUUAUGUUCCACAUAAUUGAUUCAAAUUCAAUCAAAAGUUCUAAUUCAAAGAGAGAUCAACUCAACCCUAUUCUACAGCCCUUAAUUACUCAUAAGUACCAACUUACAAUUAUGACUAACUGAAUCUUAUGAAUGGUUCAAAUCCCUAAUUCACAUUCAAACCCUAAUUUGUAUUCUCUUAAUAAUCACCCAGAGAAGUUUUACUAGUGAAGAAAGUUGUUCAUUAAAAACAAAAAGGGGUAUUCACUUUAAGAUUCCUGAAAAGCAAACAAAAAUUUCAUACCUUUUCUCUUGGAAUUAAGAUGCACAGUGAAGAACAAAAAUAUGUUGGAGAUGAAUGGGAAAAAUUUAAGCUUUUUCAUGGUUGAAAGUUGAGUAUCAAUGAGAUGGAGAGAAAUUUUUGUGAGGUGUAGUGAUACAAAAGAUGGAAGGAUAAAGAACUUUUGGGUCUGAGACUUG
rnacentral:lncRNA from 1 species